rnacentral:rRNA from 1 species
CGCCGCGUGAUCGAAGAAGCUCUGCGGAGUGUAAAGAUCUGUCAUAGGGGAAGAAAAAUUCCGUUAUUAACACCAUCGGAACGUGACGGUACCCUAUAAGAAAGCCCCGGCUAACUUCGUGCCAGCAGCCGCGGUAAUACGAGGGGGGCAAGCGUUGUCCGGAUUUAUUGGGCGUAAAGAGUUCGUAGGCGGGUUAGUCAGUCGAAAUUGAAAUCCCACGGCUUAACCGUGGACCCGGUUUCGAUACUACUAAUCUUGAGUGAGACAGAGGUAAGUGGAAUUCCUGGUGUAGCGGUGAAAUGCGUAGAUAUCAGGAGGAGCACCGAAGGCGAAGGCAGCUUACUGGGUCUAUACUGACGCUGAGGAACGAAAGCGUGGGGAGCAAACAGGAUUAGAGACCCUGGUAGUCCACGCUGUAAACGAUGAGUACUUGAUGGUGGGGGAUUCGACCCCUUCACUGUCGGAGCUAACGCGUUAAGUACUCCGCCUGGGAACUACGACCGCAAGGUUGAAACUCAAAGGAAUUGACGGGGACCCGCACAAGCGGUGGAUUAUGUGGUUUAAUUCGAUGCAACGCGAAGAACCUUACCUGGACUUGACAUGUUAGUGAAACUCCGGCGAAAACCGGAGCUUCCGCGAGCUUGCUCAAGGACACUAUCACAGGUGAUGCAUGGCUGUCGUCAGCUCGUGUCGUGAGAUGUUCGGUUAAGUCCGAUAACGAGCGCAACCCCUAUCCUUAGUUGCCAGCACGUAAUGGUGGGGACUCUAGGGAAACUGCCCGGGAUAACCGGAAGGAAGGUGGGGUCGACGUCAAGUCAGUAUGUC